rnacentral:lncRNA from 1 species
AGCUGUUGCAUUUCUUAGUCUUAAGAUGUUCACUCUGACACUGGAAUUUGAGAAAUGUCUGUUCAUUAAUAGCUUCAAGUUUACAGCAGCCCCUGAAUGCAGCCUUCCAUUCUGAACCCAACAAUUCAAUGGGAUGAACAAGCAACUAAAUCUACAUUAUGGUGGUGGUGUCAGUGAUGGAACAGGCUCCUGCAAAGUCUGACGAAUAUCUUUCCUUGCAGAUAUUCAAAGUGCUACUGGAUGUGACCAGGAGUAACCUGAUUUAACUUUGGCAUUAGCCUUGGUUUGAGUGAGAGAAUGGAGCAGAUCCGAUGACCCCCAGAAGUCCAUCCCCACUUGAAUUUUGCUAUGAUUCUGUAUGGAGACCUCAUUCUCUUGUAAAGACAAAUAAAUGAAAGAAGUUCUUGAGCACUUACUACUGUUCACACUAAAGAAGAUCAUGCAAAUGCCCGAGGACAAACUGCACAUUGGCUUUGGAGAAAGAAGACAUUGGGGAGUGGAUCCCCACAAGCUCCAGGGACCCUCCAUCUCCUCAGACACUCAGGAAAAAAAAAAAAAAAAAAAAAAAAGUAAAGCUCAGUGUUUGUACACUUCAAUAAAACAAGGACUUUCAGCUUCCUGGGUUUUGGAAGAUGACUGUGCAAAUCAUCCUGUAAAACCCUGCUGAGUUGUUUGGGGCUGGAAGAAGCACGCUGCACAUAGUGUCCCUUAGUGCUUUCAAUCUCAUCUUUUAUGACAGCUGGGAAGGAGGAAAAAAAUGUGAAAGUGACAGUAAAGAGUGGAGAGGCACAGAGCUGCAGUGCUCAGAGAAGAUUGGAAAGGACUUGGCUUUUCCAGUCAAGGCAGCUUGUACCACGCUUUGAACUUCCAGGCAAGAGCAAAAACAGGUUUGAACAGGGAAAGAAGAAAUGUAAUGCAUUUGCAAAGCAAAAGACUUCUACGUAACAGACCACUGUAGAGGAUAAUUUGUUCUAGUGUAAAAUAUCAGUGAUAUUUGAAGUUAUCUGUGACUUUUAUUCUCUUUGACUCUUAGUCUAUAGAUGUAUGUCAUUUAUAUGGUAAGAAUUACCAUUAUGAGGCAGAUGUGAGAUCUGUUCUUCAUAUAGGUCUUAUGUAUAGGUCUUACAGCAAGACAAUACUUUUUUUUUUUUUUUUUUUUUAACACACAUAUAUAUAUAUAUAUUUUAACAAUGGUAGUGUUAUUAAUUGCGUUGUCCCUAGAUUGUAUUGCGGUAUUGGAACUUGCUGUCCCUCUGUUUUUUUGUGAGCCUGGACACAGUAAGAACAACUAAAAACAUUGUAAACAUUGUUGGACAGAUU